CUGGCCCUACGGGAGGCAGCAGUGAGGAAUAUUGGUCAAUGGGAGAGAUCCUGAACCAGCCAAGCCGCGUGAGGGAAGACGGCCCUAUGGGUUGUAAACCUCUUUUGUCGGAGAACAAAACCCGGGACGAGUCCCGGACUGCGUGUAUCCGAAGAAAAAGCAUCGGCUAACUCCGUGCCAGCAGCCGCGGUAAUACGGAGGAUGCGAGCGUUAUCCGGAUUUAUUGGGUUUAAAGGGUGCAUAGGCGGUCCGUUAAGUCAGCGGUAAAAUUGCGGGGCCCAACCCCGUC
rnacentral:rRNA from 1 species